UCCACUCACACCCACUCCCUCCCCUCCUUCUCCCACGAGAUGCUGCUCCUCCUAAGCUUCAUGGCCGGCCAUGGCCAUGGAGAUUCACCAAGAUGAAGCUCUCCCCCUCCCUCAAGCUUCCCCUCACCAUGAGAGCAUCUCUCUCACUCUCUUCUCCCCCAACCCUAGCUGGUUUCCUCUCCUUUUCUUCUUCCUCCAUUGCUAAGAUUGGAUCUUGAUGCAGGUGCAUGUUUGUCCAAGCAUGGAGGAGGUUGAGCAAUCCUCAGAUCUGAAGUUCUUGAGCAAAAUCCAAAUCGAGUGAUUCAAAGUUCCACAGAUAGGUAUUGAAAAGAUCUACAACUUGGCAUUGGUCUCAUCCUCAAAUUCUUUACGGAUUUUGCAUGAUCAAGAUCUGGUCAGAUCUGACUUUGUCGAAUUAAACCAGGAGCUUGGUAACGAAUUUUUAAAUGAAACCAACUGGGGGAUAAUUGGUUUAUAUCAUGGUGAUACCUAGAGAGGCAAUUGCUAAGACGUGGCACUCUCAUACCUUUACUAGAUGCGAACAAUUCCGGAGAAGAAGAAGAAGUGGAAUCGGACGAGGAUUUUAUUUAUAUAUGUUGUUGGAAUUCUUAUAUUGAUGGAGUUGAAGAAGUACUGGGACAAAUAAGCCAAGGCAAGCCAUCUUUGAACUCUGAAUGAUGUGGUGUUGGAUGUCAUUUGUUGAUAUCCCUAAGCAUCUUAUCUCUUUAUGUGAUGAUCUCUCUAUGUUGGUCUAUGUAUGGUUGUAAUAGGAGUAGUUAAUUGUGGUGGUUUUUCAUCUUGGUUCACACGUGGGAGAGAUGCAUGGUGUCACUGCCGUGCUACU